rnacentral:rRNA from 1 species
GAUGAACGCUGGCGGCGUGCCUAAUACAUGCAAGUCGAGCGAACGGACGAGAAGCUUGCUUUUCUGAUGUUAGCGGCGGACGGGUGAGUAACACGUGGAUAACCUACCUAUAAGACUGGGAUAACUUCGGGAAACCGGAUCUAAUACCGGAUAAUAUUUUGAACCGCAUGGUUCAAAAGUGAAAGACGGUCUUGCUGUCACUUAUAGAUGGAUCCGCGCUGCAUUAGCUAGUUGGUAAGGUAGCGGCUUACCAAGGCAACGAUGCAUAGCCGACCUGAGAGGGUGAUCGGCCACACUGGAACUGAGACACGGUCCAGACUCCUACGGGAGGCAGCAGUAGGGAAUCUUCCGCAAUGGGCGAAAGCCUGACGGAGCAACGCCGCGUGAGUGAUGAAGGUCUUCGGAUCGUAAAACUCUGUUAUUAGGGAAGAACAUAUGUGUAAGUAACUGUGCACAUCUUGACGGUACCUAAUCAGAAAGCCACGGCUAACUACGUG